GGAAACCCUGACGAUGCGACGCCGCGUGGAGGAUGAAGGCCUUAGGGUUGUAAACUCCUGUCAAGAGGGAAUAAGCAAGGUGAAGGUACCUCUAGAGGAAGGGGCGGCUAAUUCCGUGCCAGCAGCCGAGGUAACACGGAAGCCCCGGAGCGUAGUAAGGAUUCAUAGGGCGUAAAAGGUGCAUAGGCGGAGCGGAAAGUCCGGCGUGAAAGGGAGGGGCUCAAACCUCUGGAUUGCGUAGGAUAAUUACGGUGCUAGAGGACUGGAGGGGGAAGACUGGAAUUCACGGUGUAGCAGUGAAAUGCGUAGAUAUCGUGAGGAAGACCGGUGGCGAAGGCGAGUCUCUGGACAGAUCCUGACGCUGGAGGCACGAAGGCUGGGGGAGCGAACAGGAUUAGAUACCCUGGUAGUCCCAGCAGUAAACGAUGUGAGCUUGAUGUGGGGGGAUUCGACCCCUUCCGUGUCGAAGCUAACGCGAUAAGCUCACCGCCUGAGGAGUACGGCCGCAAGGCUAAAACUCAAAGAAAUUGACGGGGACCCGCACAAGCGGUGGAGUAUGUGGCUUAAUUCGAUGCAACGCGAAGAACCUUACCUGGCCUUGACAUGCAUUGUGUCGUCGGUGAAAGCCGGCUAGUCCUGGAAACAGGACGCUUUGCACAGGUGCUGCAUGGCUGUCGUCAGCUCGUGUCGUGAGAUGUUGGGUUAAGUCCCGCAACGAGCGCAACCCUUGUGGUCAGUUACUAACCGGCUUAGCCGGAGGACUCUGGCCAGACUGCCCUGUCAAACGGGGAGGAAGGUGGGGACGACGUCAAGUCAGUAUGGCCCUUAUGGCCAGGGCUGCACACGUACUACAAUGCCCGGUACAAUGUGAACCGAAACCGCGAGGUGGAGGAAAUCGCUCUUGAAACCGGGCCCAGUUCGGAUUGGAGUCUGCAACUCGACUCCAUGAAGUCGGAAUCGCUAGUAAUGGCGUAUCAGCAACGACGCCGUGAUACGUUCCCGGGUCUUGUACACACCGCCCGUCACAUCAUGGAAGUCUCCUGUACCCGAAGCACGUGCGCCAACAUUUCAGGAGGCAGCGUUCGAAGGUAUGGGAGUAACUGGGAUG
rnacentral:rRNA from 1 species